rnacentral:rRNA from 1 species
CGACUUUCGAACGCAUAUUGCAGCCAUGAGAUAUCUCUUGGCUUCGUUUGUCUGAGCGUCGUCUACAAGCCAAAACCAAUGGCAAGACCAGUUGGUCGUGUCGACUUGAGUGGUCGGCUCGUCUGGUCCCUUGCUUGUGGAUGCACACCACUGCCUGCCGUGCGCGCACUGGGUUUCCCGGUGUUGGUGCGUUUGAGGGCAUCGUUGGCACACCCUGCCAGGUGCUCGAGUACCACAUCUCGAACGAAACCAAGCGUAGUGGCAAGAGGCUGGUGACGAUUCACUUAAACUUGCUUUUGUAGCGUGUCGACCUCAGAUCAAGCGAGAUUACCCCCUGAAUUUAAGC